AGCGAAGGUGUUCGAAGACGUCGCGAGCGCCCUUCCGUCGCCGCUCUCUCCGCUCCGCGGCGUUCCUCUUCAUAGUAGUGGCUCCGGUCCCACUCUGCGCAUGCGCCGCAGCCGAGUUUAAGCGCGACUAACCGCCUGGAAUUGGCUUGGUAUUGCAUAGCGCCAGGCCAGGGUUGAGAACUCGACGUGAUCCAGGGUGCUUCCUGGAGAGUGAAACCUUAUUUCGGAAUUAAAUGGCAAGGCAUGGGACACAUCUUUCCAUGAGUAUACAUCACCUGUUCUGGGCUAUUCGCACUCCUUUGUCAAGUCCAAGACAUCUGGUAUCAUAAAGCAAAAACACAGAAACAGUCCUAUUCACAGAAAUUCACAGAACAGCAAAAUCCAUAGCACUUAUAAUGUGUUCCUUAAAAUUCCAGUUUAUGUUUGCAUUUUUGACUAACAGUCUUGUGAGAGAUUGUGGUAUAUUCCCCUAAUUUCUGUAUAUGAUUGGCUGCACAUAUUUGUUCUAAAGGUUUUUUUUUUUCCCUGAAUAUUAUGUUUUAUGCCUUUUAUGAUGCUAUUGUCUUUUAGUUGUAGAUUUCUCUGUGAUUUUACUAAUAUCUUCACUGUUUUUAUUAUUCUGUAUUGCUUUCAGGGGUUGUUGGUUUUUUUUGGGGGGGGGUUGUUUUGCUAGCUGCCUUGAAUAUUUAUUACAAAGGCCUGGCCAACUACAUUGCCAAGUCAGGAUAUAAAAGGUAAUAAGUACGUAGCUGUUGCCAGUUAACUAUGGUACACAAUACCUACUUAUUUCCAGGCUGAACUGGCAAUAACUAGGUCCUUUUUAUCCUUUCUGCCAAAAGCAACAACAAAAUGGUUGAAGAUUCAGCCUUCCUUCUGGGACAGCAGCCAAAUCAAGUGUUCAGCAUAAAUAAAUACAAUACAAUGCAUAUUGGGGCAAAAAAGAAUCCCAGCUUCACAGUGAUAAAAUCUGAACUGGCUGUUAACUAAAUAGGAAGCUAACUUGGGAUCACUGUGGGCAGUUCAAUGAAAUGGUCAACUCAGUGCACAGCAGUAGUCACACAGUAUUUAUUAGAAAAGGGAUGGAGUAAAACAAGCAGUAUCACAUUAUUGGUGUGGAAUAGUGUGUACAGUUCUAGUCAUUCCAUUUCAAAGAGAGAUAUUACAGUGAGAUAUGAAAAUAAGGGGUUGGAGCACCUUAUGUAGUCACCUUUAGCUCAGAAAAGGGACAGUUAAGGUGGGGGAGAUAUGAUAACAGUUUUUUUUAAUUAUGCAUGGUGUUGGAGAAGUAGAUGGAGGUAUUUUUUUCUGUGAUAGAACUUGGGGACAUAUAAUUGACUUGAUAUCAAUUAAGGACAGACAAAAUAACUUAUUCACACGAUGCGUAGUUCAGUGCCCUAAGAUAUGGUAAGGGUCACUGGGAUUAGACAAAUUCAUGGAGGAUCAGUCAAUUGAGUACUCUUAGCCAUGAUGACUAAAUGGAAUCUCCAGGUUCAGAGAAACUGUAACCAUAGCUCAAUGUUAGUGGCUCAAGGUGAGGAAUGGAGAAAGGCUAUUCCCUUUAUACCCUAAAUGUUGGCUUCUGGGAACCACCUGGCUAGCUGCUGUUGGAAAGAGAAUCCUGGCUGAGAUGGACCUUUGUUCUGAUCCAGCAGGUCUGCACUUACAUUCAAAUGGCACUGCAUUAAGGUUUAAUGGGGCUUACUCCCAAGUAAAUGCGCAUAGCCUGAACAUGACCCUUCUUUCUUGUUGCCAGUUUGCAACAAGACGUUUUUGAUAUUUUUGCAUAUAAUUUAAUUUAUAUGAUAUAUCAGAGGGACCAAUAUGACCUAGUAAACCAAACGUAUUGAAUACUCUCUUCUGGCAGCACAGACAUAAAUUACAUUAAUUGGGUUUAAUUUCGUUCAGUUUCCACAGAGAAAAUUGUAGUUUUCAAAAUAUAAUACCCAUAUGAAGUACUUUGAAGUUCAUUCUGGGAAGAAAGCCAAAAGAUCAGCUUAGCUAGCAGUAAAGGAAAUUUUCUUUUCCAGUGAAAAAACAUCCCUCUGAAAAGGCAAUAUAGGCCUUUAAUAGUACCAAAAAUGCAAUUCUAAAAUGGACUUUUAAGAAACAGGGCAAUAACAGAGCCCGACAAGAAAAUAACAAAGGUUCUAAAUGACAACCUAACUUUAUUUUAAAGCCUAAAAAAUUAAUAGGCGAAAAUUGGAAUGCGACUUUCAGUAUCCUUCUGUGCAUAUCACACACAAUAUAAGAUCAGACUAAAGAUUAGACUAUCAUUACUUUACUGUUGUCUUCAAUUUCCCUAAGCGUUCAUUUAAAGGUUGAUGCUGCAAGUCUUCAAAGAACUGGAUCACACUGAAACCUCUGCAAAAGACUGGCCUUACACCCAGCAGAUUGGAUCUCCUGAAAGUUUUCCUUAAAUAGACAGUGUGCCUGGGCACUUCUCUGCACAGCCUCUACCAUGCCGUCUCAGGCACAUCUGGUUGAUUUGCCUGCUGACCCUCAGAGACAUGGUAUCCCCCUAGAACUGAGCAGGAGUCCUAGCUCCACCUCCUUGAUAAUUGGUAGGGAUUCAUUAGUGGCAGAGUCAGGUAUCUAAGGUUCAAUUAAGCCCUUCUUUGAUCAGUGCUAGAAGGUAUGGCAGAGCCAAGGAACCCUUUCGAGGCCCUCCUCCUGUCAAUAAGAUCCUAUUUCCCCAAACCCAUUGAUAUUGCUGAGGAUUCCUCAGUCAUAAAGAACACUCGGGUUUUGGUCCAGGAUAUUAGUUUAGAUUAGGAGUAGCAAAUGUGUUCCCCUGCAGAAGGUUUUGGGCUAGAGCUCCCUUCAUUCCUCACCAUGCUUGCUGAUGGGAGCUGAAGUGUGACGACAUCUGGAGGGCACCAGGUUGGCAACCCUGCUCUGGAGGAUGGGGCUAAUAAAAUGUGCAUGGAUUU